rnacentral:rRNA from 1 species
AGUGAACGCUGGCGGUAGGCCUAACACAUGCAAGUCGAACGGCAGCACAGUAAGAGCUUGCUCUUACGGGUGGCGAGUGGCGGACGGGUGAGGAAUACAUCGGAAUCUACUUUUUUGUGGGGGAUAACGUAGGGAAACUUACGCUAAUACCGCAUACGACCUACGGGUGAAAGCAGGGGAUCUUCGGACCUUGCGCGAUUGAAUGAGCCGAUGUCGGAUUAGCUAGUUGGCGGGGUAAAGGCCCACCAAGGCGACGACCCGUAGCUGGUCUGAGAGGAUGAUCAGCCACACUGGAACUGAGACACGGUCCAGACUCCUACGGGAGGCAGCAGUGGGGAAUAUUGGACAAUGGGCGCAAGCCUGAUCCAGCCAUACCGCGUGGGUGAAGAAGGCCUUCGGGUUGUAAAGCCCUUUUGUCGGGAAAGAAAAGCAGCAGGUUAAUACCCCGCUGUUCUGACGGUACCCAAAGAAUAAGCACCGGCUAACUUCGUG